AUUGAACGCUGGCGGCGUGCCUAACACAUGCAAGUCGAGCGGUAACAGGUGUAGCAAUACAUGCUGACGAGCGGCGGACGGGUGAGUAACGCUUGGGAAUCUGCCUAUUAGUGGGGGACAACCCGGGGAAACUCGGGCUAAUACCGCAUACGCUCUACGGAGGAAAGCCGGGGACCGCAAGGCCUGGCGCUAAUAGAUGAGCCCAAGUCGGAUUAGCUAGUUGGUAGGGUAAUGGCCUACCAAGGCGACGAUCCGUAACUGGUCUGAGAGGACGACCAGUCACACCGGAACUGAGACACGGUCCGGACUCCUACGGGAGGCAGCAGUGGGGAAUAUUGGACAAUGGGCGAAAGCCUGAUCCAGCGACGCCGCGUGGGUGAAGAAGGCCUGCGGGUUGUAAAGCCCUUUUCAGUGGGGAAGAAAAGCCUCGACCUAACACGUCGGGGUCUUGACGUAACCCAUAGAAGAAGCACCGGCUAACUCUGUGCCAGCAGCCGCGGU
rnacentral:rRNA from 1 species